GACAGAGGGUGCAAACGUUGCUCGGAAUUACUGGGCGUAAAGGGCGCGUAGGCGGCGACCCAAGUCAGAUGUGAAAGUCCUGGGCUUAACCUGGGGACUGCAUUUGAUACUGGGUUGCUUGAAUUCGGGAGAGGAUAGCGGAAUUCCCAGUGUAGAGGUGAAAUUCGUAGAUAUUGGGAAGAACACCGGUGGCGAAGGCGGCUAUCUGGACCGACAUUGACGCUGAGGCGCGAAAGCGUGGGGAGCAAACAGG
rnacentral:rRNA from 1 species